GACAGAGGGGGCAAGCGUUGCUCGGAAUCACUGGGCGUAAAGGGCGCGUAGGCGGUGUGUCGCGUCGGCCGUGAAAACCUGGGGCUCAACUCUGGGCGUGCGGUCGAUACGGGCAUCACUGGAGUUCGGCAGGGGAGACUGGAAUUCCUGGUGUAGCGGUGAAAUGCGCAGAUAUCAGGAGGAACACCGGUGGCGAAGGCGG
rnacentral:rRNA from 1 species